rnacentral:rRNA from 1 species
AGAGUUUGAUCAUGGCUCAGAACGAACGCUGGCGGCAGGCUUAACACAUGCAAGUCGAACGCAUCCUUCGGGGUGAGUGGCAGACGGGUGAGUAACGCGUGGGAACGUGCCCUUCAGUUCGGAAUAACCCAGGGAAACUUGGGCUAAUACCGGAUACGUGCGAGAGCAGAAAGAUUUAUCGCUGAAGGAUCGGCCCGCGUCUGAUUAGCUAGUUGGUGGGGUAAUGGCCCACCAAGGCGACGAUCAGUAGCUGGUCUGAGAGGAUGAUCAGCCACAUUGGGACUGAGACACGGCCCAAACUCCUACGGGAGGCAGCAGUGGGGAAUAUUGGACAAUGGGCGCAAGCCUGAUCCAGCCAUGCCGCGUGAGUGAUGAAGGCCUUAGGGUUGUAAAGCUCUUUCAGUGGGGACGAUAAUGACGGUACCCGCAGAAGAAGCCCCGGCUAACUUCGUGCUAGCAGCCGCGGUAAUUC